AGAGAAGAGAGGAGAGGAGGCAGGAGGGUAAUAUGACAUCAAAACCUUCUCAUGUAAACGAAAGCGAGAAAAGAAGAGGGGAGGGGAGAGCAGGUGGGAGGGCAAUGUGCAUGUGAACUCAUAUAAAAGGUAAAUAUCUAAUGUUAUAACCAGAUUUUAUGAAGU